GACGAACGCUGGCGGCGUGCCUAAUACAUGCAAGUCGAGCGAACAGACGAGGAGCUUGCUCCUCUGACGUUAGCGGCGGACGGGUGAGUAACACGUGGAUAACCUACCUAUAAGACUGGGAUAACUUCGGGAAACCGGAGCUAAUACCGGAUAAUAUAUUGAACCGCAUGGUUCAAUAGUGAAAGACGGUUUUGCUGUCACUUAUAGAUGGAUCCGCGCCGCAUUAGCUAGUUGGUAAGGUAACGGCUUACCAAGGCAACGAUGCGUAGCCGACCUGAGAGAGUGAUCGGCCACACUGGAACUGAGACACGGUCCAGACGCCUACGGGAGGCAGCAGUAGGGAAUCUUCCGCAGUGGGCGAGAGCCUGACGGAGCAACGCCGCGUGAGUGAUGAAGGUCUUCGGAUCGUAAAACUCUGUUAUUAGGGAAGAACAAAUGUGUAAGUAACUAUGCACGUCUUGACGGUACCUAGUCAGAAAGCCACGGCUAACUACGUG
rnacentral:rRNA from 1 species